AUUGAACGCUGGCGGCAGGCCUAACACAUGCAAGUCGAGCGGGUGAAGGGAGCUUGCUCCUGGAUUCAGCGGCGGACGGGUGAGUAAUGCCUAGGAAUCUGCCUGGUAGUGGGGGAUAACGUCCGGAAACGGGCGCUAAUACCGCAUACGUCCUGAGGGAGAAAGUGGGGGAUCUUCGGACCUCACGCUAUCAGAUGAGCCUAGGUCGGAUUAGCUAGUUGGUGGGGUAAAGGCCUACCAAGGCGACGAUCCGUAACUGGUCUGAGAGGAUGAUCAGUCACACUGGAACUGAGACACGGUCCAGACUCCUACGGGAGGCAGCAGUGGGGAAUAUUGGACAAUGGGCGAAAGCCUGAUCCAGCCAUGCCGCGUGUGUGAAGAAGGUCUUCGGAUUGUAAAGCACUUUAAGUUGGGAGGAAGGGCAGUAAGUUAAUACUUUGCUGUUUUGACGUUACCAACAGAAUAAGCACCGGCUAACUUCGUG
rnacentral:rRNA from 1 species